UACGUAGGGUGCAAGCGUUGAUCGGAAUUACUGGGCGUAAAGCGUGCGCAGGCGGUUAUGUGAGACAGAGGUGAAAUGCCCGGGCUUAACCUGGGAACUGCAUUUGUGACUGCAUGGCUAGAGUUUGGCAGAGGGGGGUAGAAUUCCACGUGUAGCAGUGAAAUGCGUAGAUAUGUGGAGGAACACCGAUGGCGAAGGCAGCCCCCUGGGUCAAGACUGACGCUCAUGCACGAAAGCGUGGGGAGCAAACAGG
rnacentral:rRNA from 1 species